UCCAUGAGAUUGGGGCUAGCAUGAUGAU
rnacentral:piRNA from 1 species